rnacentral:rRNA from 1 species
UACAGAGGUCCCAAGCGUUGUUCGGAUUCACUGGGCGUAAAGGGUGCGUAGGUGGCGAGGUAAGUCGGAUGUGAAAGCUCGGAGCUCAACUCCGAAAUGGCAUUGGAAACUACCUUGCUCGAGGGUUGGAGGGGGGACUGGAAUUCUCGGUGUAGCAGUGAAAUGCGUAGAUAUCGAGAGGAACACCAGUGGCGAAGGCGGUUCUCUGGGCAUGAUCUGACGCUGAGGAGCGAAAGUGUGGGGAGCGAACAGG